rnacentral:rRNA from 1 species
UAAUACGUAGGGUGCGAGCGUUAAUCGGAAUUACUGGGCGUAAAGCGUGCGCAGGCGGCUCUUUAAGUCAGAUGUGAAAGCCCCGGGCUUAACCUGGGAACUGCGUUUGAAACUGGAGAGCUGGAGUGUGGCAGAGGAAGGUGGAAUUCCUGGUGUAGCAGUGAAAUGCGUAGAGAUCAGGAGGAACACCGAUGGCGAAGGCAGCCUUCUGGGCCAACACUGACGCUCAUGCACGAAAGCGUGGGGAGCAAACAGGAUUAGAUACCCUGGUAGUCCACGCCCUAAACGAUGUCGACUGGUUGUUGGGGGAGUUAAAUCCCUUAGUAACGAAGCUAACGCGUGAAGUCGACCGCCUGGGGAGUACGGCCGCAAGGUUGAAACUUAAAUGAAUUGACGG